AUUUAUUAAUUGGGGAUUGAAUAAGUAUUAUGAAAAGGAAGUUGCUGAUUCUUUGUGUGAUAAGGUAAAGGAAGCUUUAAACAAAAUGUUUGAAAGCUAUAGUCGUUUCUCAAAUAAAGGCCAAGCAGAAAGUGUUUCACAAGAAAUAGAAGGUUCAGAAUUUGUUACAGAAGAUGUGGAUGAUCAAUUUGAGAAGGAUAUGGAUCAAGAUCCGAAUUUGAGUCAAACUGAAGUGGAUAUCUAUCUCUCAGAGCCUAGGGAGAAGAAAAAUCCUGAUUUUGACAUCUUGAAUUGGUGGAAGGUGAAUUCCACCAAAUACCCUACUCUUGGUCUAAUAGCUAGAGAUAUAUUGGCUAUGCCAAUAUCAACUGUUGCUUCGGAGUCUGCUUUUAGCACUGGGGUAGAGUUCUUAGUUGUUAUAGGAGCUCUCUUACAACCCACACUGUUGAAGCUUUAAUAUGUGCACAAAAUUGGUUAAGAUCAUCACCUUUGUCAGUUGAUAUCGAGGAGCAGUUGGAAGACUUAGAGAAGCUCGAAGAAGAAUUGGCUCCGAUCCCACAAUUGAAUGAGGGGAUUUCUGAUAUUGAAUCUGAUUAAUAGACGUGCUUGAAAAAAAUUAAAUGAUGGAGUCACGGAGAUGGAGGCGUCGAGGCGAUGUGUUCUUAUUUUGGAGUCAUGAUAAUGUGUUACUUUGGAACUUCAAGUUGUUCUUUUUUGGUUCUUAAAUAUUAUUUUGGUACUGUAAUGUUAUUUUAGAUAAAUAACUUUUAUUGGUAUUGUAAUGCUAUUUUGGAACUUCAAGUUCUUUUUUUGAAUAAUUAAAAUUGCUUGGUACUAGUUGGCAAUAUUAGACUUAAUGUAAUUUUUUUAUUUAUCUCGCGAUUAACCGCAUCAACUGAACCAAUCCAAACCGCAUUGGUUUGGUUUGGUUUGAUUUGGAUGACUUUUUAAAAAUCAACCGAACCAAACCAAACCGCAUGCUUUUUUCUCUCGCGGUUUGGAUGAUUAUUAUGCUUGAAACCGAACCAAACCGCACCGCGAAC